UCACGUAGAAUAAAAUAUCACAACAUCACCAUAGAUAACAACUCAGUUUCAUAACUCGAAAUAAAAUAAUUUGGCUUAUUAGAGCCUUACAUUUUUCUUAUAAUAAUAAAAAAAUUCUUAUAAUAAAUUAAGUAAAUAUACUAGAUAACAUCGACCCUGAUAUCAUAGUAUCACACCUUACAAUCCGUUUUAAACAUAAACAACAAUCAAAGAAACAUUCAAGAACAACAUAGCAUGGUUAGAGAAUAAUUAUCCACUUUACUACGAACAUCUCAAUACUACUUGUGGUAGCGAGGAGGCUCUAUAUACAACAUAUAAAAGAGAAAAACACAGAGAAAAAAAGGUGUUAGAUAUGUUAUAUGUGACUUAAAAAUUUUACGACAAUAAAUAUGCAUAGAAACAAACAUAAAUCUACAUUUAUAACUCCAAACCAUCUAAGAUUUACAUAUUAAACUAAAAGAUCUAUAUUGGUAUGACAUUUUCUUGUGCUUAGAUUGAAUUUCCCAUCUUAAAAGUAUGCCCUAACAACAACGAAUCAUCAAGAGUUAUUGAUAUUUCCACACUAAAGAGUAAUAUAUCAUGCAUGUUUCAAAACAUAAAAUCCAAAAAAUGUUAAUAUAUAAAAAUUAUUAAUAUUAUUCUAGGAACUCAUGAAAAAAAUUAUCAUCAUAAGACCAACCUCGCCUUUCUUGAGAUAUGUUGCCCGAGUUAAUAAUAUUCAUUACAAAAAUAUACACAAAACAAGCAUUCUGAAGAUCAACCUUGUAAUUAGUUAAAACACGAAUUUAAUUCUUAAACUAACAAAUUAUAUUCUAACCAUAAUUACCUCUUGUUUUGUUAUUGAUUUAUACCCUUGAGUUUUCCGUAAUUCAUUAUGCUAUUGUUUUUUGACUACUUCUUAUAUAUAUAUAGACACACACAUCUUUUGUUAAUUAAAACAAUAUUAUUAAAGAACUAUAUAUAUAUAUAUAUAUAUAUAUAUAUAUAUAUAUAUAUAUAUAUAUAUAUAUAUACACACACACACACACCAACAACCCGUGGAAACUAUGGUAGAUAAAGAGAGAAUAUUUCAUAUUUGAGUCUUUCUUAUGAAGAUUUUUUUUUUCUUCAAAAUUUAUCAUAAUUCGAUAUAACUUUGUUUUUGUAUUUUUUUGAAUUACAAAUUAUUUAGACUUGUCAGAGGAAUUGUUCCCAUGUUUAGCUAAUUAAUAUGUUCAAGUAGAAUCAAUAUUAUUUCCUAACAUUUCUUUUUUUGAAGUAUUUGAGUAUGUGUUUUUGUUAUAAAAUUUGUCAAUAUGUCCAUGCAACAUUCUAAGGUGCUGGAAAGGGGCAAUACACAUUUUUGACUAAUAGAGUAAACAUAUUUUCAAUUAAUAUUCAAAGGAUGACCUAAGUCUUACUAGGGAUGAAAUAACUAAUGACAUCUAAAGUUUAGUUUAUAAAUCUUCAUAGUUUCACUUAAAGAGAGAUACAUGUUCAUUGUAUGGUUGAUAAUAUGAUUGAUCAUAAUAUAAUUUAGUAACGGAUGUGUGGUUGAAUUUACGUGAUUUACUUACUUCCAUUCCGUUAAAAAAACUAUUUAACAUGUUUCUAAUGAUAUCAAAGAAAUUUAAGGAUCGGGGAAAUAUAUGUAAGUUUUAGACAAAUUAUAAGAGUAGCAACAUUAUAACAAUCAAAGAAAAAACAGUUUUAGAUAUAAUAGAAAAAUAAAUUUUACCUUCAUAUAAACUAUAACAAUAACCGGUGCUGCAAAUUAGAGGCUUUUUAUUACCCGGAUAUAUUUUUUCACAAUCGACGUCAGUAACACAUUCUUCUGUAAUAAAAUAAGAUUAAUGAAAGAUUACUAAAAAUGAUUGAAAGAUUAGACAUAAGAUUAAAAAAAUGAGAAUGAGCUUACUUCCACCAGCUUCUACAAUAAGCAAUAACGAAACACAAAGUAUCAUAAUAUAAACAAACUUAAUAAUUUUAG
rnacentral:lncRNA from 1 species